rnacentral:misc_RNA from 1 species
AAGGAUCAUUAUUGAAUAAACUUGAUGUGGGUUGUCGCUGGCUCUCUAGGGAGCAUGUGCACGCUCCGUCAUCUUUAUAUUUCCACCUGUGCACCUUUUGUAGACCCAGAAGGCUUGAGCAAUCGAGUCGUUUGGGCCUAUGUUUAUCAUAUACCCCAUAGUAUGUAUUAGAAUGUAUCAGUGGGCUUUGUGCCUAUAAACACUAUACAACUUUCAGCAACGGAUCUCUUGGCUCUC